rnacentral:rRNA from 1 species
AUGCAAGUCGAACGGAAAGGCCCUUCGGGGUACUCGAGUGGCGAACGGGUGAGUAACACGUGGGUGAUCUGCCCUGCACUUGGGAUAAGCCUGGGAAACUGGGUCUAAUACCGAAUACACCCUUCUGGCUGCAUGGUCUGGGAGGGGAAAGCUUUUGCGGUGUGGGAUGGGCCCGCGGCCUAUCAGCUUGUUGGUGAGGUUACGGCUCACCAAGGCGACGACGGGUAGCCGGCCUGAGAGGGUGACCGGCCACACUGGGACUGAGAUACGGCCCAGACUCCUACGGGAGGCAGCAGUGGGGAAUAUUGCACAAUGGGCGCAAGCCUGAUGCAGCGACGCCGCGUGAGGGAUGACGGCCUUCGGGUUGUAAACCUCUUUCGCCAGGGACGAAGCGCAAGUGACGGUACCUGGAGAAGAAGGACCGGCCAACUACGUGCCAGCAGCCGCGGUAAUACGUAGGGUCCGAGCGUUGUCCGGAAUUACUGGGCGUAAAGAGCUCGUAGGUGGUUUGUCGCGUUGUCCGUGAAAACUCACAGCUCAACUGUGGGCGUGCGGGCGAUACGGGCAGACUGGAGUACUGCAGGGGAGACUGGAAUUCCUGGUGUAGCGGUGGAAUGCGCAGAUAUCAGGAGGAACACCGGUGGCGAAGGCGGGUCUCUGGGCAGUAACUGACGCUGAGGAGCGAAAGCGUGGGGAGCGAACAGGAUUAGAUACCCUGGUAGUCCACGCCGUAAACGGUGGGUACUAGGUGUGGGUUUCCUUCCUUGGGAUCCGUGCCGUAGCUAACGCAUUAAGUACCCCGCCUGGGGAGUACGGCCGCAAGGCUAAAACUCAAAGAAAUUGACGGGGGCCCGCACAAGCGGCGGAGCAUGUGGAUUAAUUCGAUGCAACGCGAAGAACCUUACCUGGGUUUGACAUGCACAGGACGCCGGCAGAGAUGUCGGUUCCCUUGUGGCCUGUGUGCAGGUGGUGCAUGGCUGUCGUCAGCUCGUGUCGUGAGAUGUUGGGUUAAGUCCCGCACCGAGCGCAACCCUUAUCUUAUGUUGCCAGCGCGUAAUGGCGGGGACUCGUGAGAGACUGCCGGGGUCAACUCGGAGGAAGGUGGGGAUGACGUCAAGUCAUCAUGCCCCUUAUGUCCAGGGCUUCACACAUGCUACAAUGGCCGGUACAAAGGGCUGCGAUGCCGUAGGUGGAGCGAAUCCUUUCAAAGCCGGUCUCAGUUCGGAUCGGGGUCUGCAACUCGACCCCGUGAAGUCGGAGUCGCUAGUAAUCGCAGAUCAGCAACGCUGCGGUGAAUACGUUCCCGGGCCUUGUACACACCGCCCGUCACGUCAUGAAAGUCGGUAACACCCGAAGCCGGUGGCCUAACCC